AACGAACGCUGGCGGCGUGGAUAAGACAUGCAAGUCGAACGAGAACUUUCGCUGUAGCAAUACAGUGGAAGUUCUAGUGGCGAACGGGUGCGUAACACGUGGGCAAUCUGCCUUAAAGUGGGGGAUAGCUCGGCGAAAGCCGGAUUAAUACCGCAUGUGAUUACCGGAGACAUCUUCGGAACAUCAAAGUCGGGGCAACCUGACGAUUUUUGAGGUGCCCGCUGCCUAUCCGCUUCUUGGUGAGGUAACGGCUCACCAAGGCGUUGACGGGUAGCUGGUCUGAGAGGACGACCAGUCACACUGGAACUGAGACACGGUCCAGACACCUACGGGUGGCAGCAGUCGAGAAUUUUUCUCAAUGGGGGAAACCCUGAAGGAGCGACGCCGCGUGGAGGAUGAAGGUCUUCGGGUUGUAAACUCCUGUCAUUUGGGAACAAUGCUUACGUAUUAACUGUACGUGAGUUGAUAGUACCAGAAGAGGAAGAGACGGCUAACUCUGUGCCAGCCGCCGCGGUAA
rnacentral:rRNA from 1 species